ncrna:unclassified sequences DTF3800-XI RNA
UGGGCUGGUCGCAAGACCCGGGUCCAUCGAGAGCGGGGAUGUUCCCC